CCUACUGGUGGCAGCAGUGGGGAAUAUUGCACAAUGGGGGAAACCCUGAUGCAGCGACGCCGCGUGAGUGAAGAAGUAUUUCGGUAUGUAAAGCUCUAUCAGCAGGGAAGAAGAAAUACGUUACCUGACUAAGAAGCCCCGGCUAACUACGUGCCAGCCGCCUCGGUAAUACGUAGGGGGCACGCGUUAUCCGGAUUUACUGGGUGUAAAGGGAGCGUAGACGGCUGUGCAAGUCUGAAGUGAAAGCCCAGGGCGCAACCGUGAGAUUGCUUUUGAACCUGGGGAGCUAGAGUGCUGGAGAGGUAAGUGGAAUGCGUGGUGUAGCGGUGAAAUGCGUAGAUAUUAGGAGGAACACCAGUGGCGAAGGCGGCUUACUGGACAGUAACUGACGUUGAGGCUCGAAAGCGUGGGGAGCAAACAGGAUUAGAUACCCGUGUAGUC
rnacentral:rRNA from 1 species